rnacentral:rRNA from 1 species
GACGAACGCUGGCGGCGUGCUUAACACAUGCAAGUCGAACGGUGAAGCGCCUUCCUUUUUGGUGGGUGUGGAUGAGUGGCGAACGGGUGAGUAACACGUGAGUAACCUGCCCCCUUCUUCUGGUUAACCGCAUUAAAGUGUGGCUAAUACGGGAUAUUCUGGGUCUGUCGCAUGAUGGGUCUGGGACAGCUAUUGUUUCGGUGGGGGAUGGGCUCGCGGCCUAUCGGCUUGUUGGUGGGGUGAGGGCCUUCCAAGGGGGUGACGGCUAGCCGGCCUGAGAGGGUGGACGGUCUCACUGGGACAGAGACACAGCCCAGACUGCUACGGGAGGCAGACUCGGGCGGUAUUGCACAAUGGGCGGAAGCCUGAUGCGGCGACACCGCGUAUGGAGUGGAGGCGUUCGCGUUGUGAACCUCUUUCGCCAGUGAAGCAGGCCUGCCUCGUUUGUGGGUGGAUUGACGGUAGCUGGAAAAGAAGCGCCGGCUAACUACGUG